rnacentral:ncRNA from 1 species
AUAAAAACUGUGAAAAGAACAAGUAGAAAUAUCUAAGCUUAACAGAAAGUUGCCGGUUGAUGAGAGGCGCAAAGACAUUUAUUUUCGAAUACAUCUUGGAGUUAUUCAUUGAACUCUAUUAUUAUAAUAGAUAUUAGAUGUUAUCGGCUGAGUACCGUUAAAAACUUUUAAUGAGGUCAAAUAUUUACGGAUGUUUAUAUUUGAUAAAUUAAGGUGGUACCACGUGAGCAAUCUCGUCCUUAUU